GGUCCCGGCAGCGGCCGCGGGGAGCCGCGCCCCCAACCCGGCGGCUGGGAGUCGGGGGGUCGCGGCGGCCUGGCCCCGGCGGCCCAGAUGCCGAGGCAGGAGUCGGGGGCCGGGGCUGAGGCGCGGGCAGGCGGCCCCGGUGCCGUCGGAGCCCGCCGCUUCCUGCUGUGUCUUUACCUGGUGGGCUUCUUGGAUUUGUUUGGUGUCAGCAUGGUCGUCCCUUUAUUGAGCCUUCAUGUCAAGUCUCUUGGAGCAAGUCCAACAGUUGCUGGAAUAGUAGGCUCCUCCUAUGGCAUUUUGCAGCUCUUUUCCAGCACAUUGGUGGGCUGCUGGAGUGAUGUGGUUGGAAGACGAUCUUCCUUGCUGGUGUGCAUUCUGUUCAGUGCCCUGGGUUAUCUGAUUCUUGGAGCAUCCACCAAUGUGUUCCUGUUUGCCCUUGCUAGAAUCCCUGUGGGUAUUUUUAAACAUACACUCUCCAUUUCAAGGGCUCUGCUUUCUGAUCUGGUUUCAGAGAAAGAACGGCCGCUAGUAAUCGGACAAUUCAAUGCAGCAUCUAGUGUGGGCUUCAUCUUGGGCCCCAUGGUUGGUGGAUAUCUUACUGAGUUAGAUGGUGGAUUUUAUCUGACAGCCUUCAUCUGUUGUUGUGUCUUCCUUCUCAAUGCUGGUCUGGUUUGGCUGUUUCCCUGGCAUGAAGCAAAGCUCUCCAGGAUGGAGCAAGGCCGGCCGGCCGGUGACAACCCUGUCCCCUGGGGGAGGACGGACCCUCCCGAGCAGCAGACAGCCACCCUGCGCCAGAGCACCGCCAGCACCAGGCCUGCCGGGCCGCCCUGGGCGGAGGUCGCGUCCACCCUGCGCGACAUGAAGAGCCUGAUAUUUUCCGAAAUGUGGGACAUCUUCGCGGUGCGCUUGCUGAUGGCCGUGGCGGUGAUGCUCUACUACAGUAACUUCGUGCUGGCCCUGGAGGAGCGCUUCGGGGUGCGGCCGCGGGCGGCGGGCUGCCUCAUCAGCUACAGCAGCGCCCUGGGCGCCCUGGGCGGCCUGGCGCUGGGCCCGCUCCUGCGGCUGUACGGGCACGACGGGCGCGCCGUCCUGCUGCGCUCGAGCGCGCUCACCUGCCUGCUGCUGCUGCUGCACGCCGCCGCCCGCUCGGCCGCCCUGGCCGCGCUCUGCACCUCGCUGCUGGCCGUCUCCACGGCCGUGGGCAGGACCUGCGUCACCGACCUGCAGCUGGCCGCCGGCGGGGCGCGGGCGGGCGGCACGGUCAUCGGCGUGGGGCAGUCGGUGACGGCCGUGGGCCGGAUCGUCGCCCCGCUCCUCUCGGGGCUCGCGCAGGAGGUGAGCCCGUGCGGGCCCCCCAGCCUCGGGGCCGCCCUGGCCCUGGUGGCCAUUUUCCUGAUGUCUCUGAACAGAGCCCGCCACCGUGGCGGCGGGAGGGACAAAUUAAAAAGUGAGUAGAAUGGAACCGGAUGGAGGAAGCCAACUCGGAGGACGUGAGGAAGGGACAGAGGCCAGGACGGAUGGUCUCCCAGCGGAUGUGCUCGGUUCAUAGACACCAAGGUCCAGCCUGCGGGCACAUCAGAAGUCAGAGCCUUGUCAAAGGAGAAGGUAUUAAACAUUACUUAGAAGUCUCCUCUUUGAACGUGGCCAGUGGGGUUAAAGUUUUCCAGGGGGAAAUGCUAGCAGCUUCAGGACAGGAAGAUGUGCUGGGAUAACCGAUGAUAGGCUUCCCUGCUAAGUAAAAAGGAGGGUAACCCAUUAAUAAAAUGAUCUGCUGAGACACGGGUUUCAUGUCAAGUUGCAUAAGCUAAGAGGGCGGUUUUCUGCUAUCAGAAUCCUAGAGAUUAAAUAAGCCACUAUAUUGAAACGAGCUUGUCACUUUCUCAAGUUAUAACAAGGAUUCCCCUGGUGAGCUGGGGGAAAAUCAGAUGGCUGGCCUCACCCCCAGUUACUGAUUCUGCGGGCCUAGGGGAGGCCGAGGAAUCUGUAUUUAAUAAGCAACACUUGCACUUUUUCACGGAGACAGAAAAAGGAUCAUUCAGAGACUCUGGUUUUGAUUAAUGUCAAAGCCAGAGACUUGUUUGUGUUUAUGAAUAGCUAACUCAGUUUGAACUAUUAAAAUUAUGUGAUUGCAGUGUGUUACACCUUCUCCCCAGCUUGUGGCAGUCACGCUGCAUAAUAGGAGAAACAGGUUCAUGGGGCCUCUAUCCUGUGUCCACAGCUUUGGAGGCCCCAUGCUCUUCGAGGAGCUGAGGUUGUCAGUGUGGCCAGUUCUCCCUGGAUAUCAGGCCUGAACUGCUUCCAGAAGCCCAUGCUCUGUUAGGCUGCAUUGAUUGGAUGGUGGUAGAACCCAGUGGAAAAGACAGAGCACAGGAAUGCCUUUAGGAUGAACAUCUCAUGCAGUGUAAGACAGUGAAGUCUCAUCAGAGGGACUAAUCUACAGUGUCUUAUGGUGAAGGUCAUUUUCUUUCUCUCAUUUUCAUAUCACACCUGAGAAUGAAAGAGCUACACUGAUCUACAGGGAAAUGUUUCGAUUUGCCUUUUUCUAGGCCUAAACAGUCAUUCCAAAAGUAGCAUCCCAGGGUCCAGCUGAGAGGCCCAGAGUGAAGUUUAGCACAAACUCACAAGGAAGCAUUUGUAAGGCUCUUGCUAUUUAGAUGAUGUCACCUAUUGAUAAUUAUUUUGAAGCCCCCUCGCUUUUCCUCCUGUGGAUUAUCAGAGUUCACAUUCCUUUCAUUCUUUUUGAUUGGUCCUCUAGAAAAUCAUUCCUGUUUUCAACCUAUCACAUGUAUAAUUGUAAAUGUAUGUAAAGCAGGAAAAAAAUGUUUUCUCUAGUUUUAGAAGUUGUGUGUUGGAUAAACCCAAGUAUUUAUGAUAAAGAAUUAAUCGGAUGUUUGAAGAUUGUCCUUUCUCCUGUCUAGCUACAAGGAAAAUAUUAACCUUUUAUUAAGUGCCAUAAUUGUGAACUUUUAUGCGAGCACCAAGUCCUUUUGAGGAAACCAAAAUAUAAUGUAAAAUGGCAUGACCCUUAAGGAGCACAUUAAAUCAUCAUAGAGGUUAGACUCAUAGGACAAGAAGUAAUCAUGGGUUUAUUCAAUGAAAUAGAAUCUCUCUGAAGAUUAUAUCUUUUCUCUGCACUCAGAAGUAGACAAGUUUCUUAGACAUUCCUUAAUAUAGUCAUUAUUAAAUUUUUCAAAUCAUAGCACUUUAUUUUUGAAGGUAAAUAAAGCCUAUAAAUUUAUUAGGGCUUUACAGUUAAUCAGACACAUGGAAAUACUGAAAACCAGGGUUGAUUUUAGUAUAGAGAGUAGAGAAACAUUUUUAUUAUUCUCCACACUCAUAUUGCUUUUUAAAAAAAUAAAUAUUAUACAGGCAUACCUCGUUUUAUUGCACUUCAUCUUAUUAUGCAUCACUGUGUUUUUUGCCAAAGGUUCAUAGCAACCCUGUGUCAAGGGAUUUAUCGGCACCAUUUUUUCCACCAGCAUUUGCUCACUUUGUGUCUCUAUGUCACAUUUUGGUAAUUGUCACAAUAUUUCAAACUUUUUCAUUAUAUUUGGUAUUGUUAUAUGUGAUCAGUGAUCUUUGACAUUACUAUAAUUGUUUUGGGGCAUCGUGAACCGUACCCAUAUAAGAUAGUGAAUUUAAUCGUUAAAUGUAUGUGUUCCGACUGGCUGGUCACCCGUCUCUUGCCCUCUUCUUGGUCUUCCCAUUUCUUCAGAUGCUAACAACCCUAUAGUGGCCCCUAAGUGUUCAAGUGAAAGGAAGUGUCAGUCGACGUAGAAAACUUCAUUGCCGUCUGAUUUUUUAAAAUUGCCACAGCCACCCCAACCUUGAACACACACCACCCUGAUCAACACUGAGAAAAGACCCUCCACCAGCAAAAAGAUUGCCACCUGCUGAAAGGGGCAUUGAACUUGACUGAGAAGUUUAUGAAGGAUAUGGCACUCUUUCAGCAUUAUGCUAGCCACAAUUGGUAAGUUCUGUGAAUCAGCCUCAGGGUUUGGGGUUCUAGAAGACUUUGGCCUUCUCCACAGAAGGAAGGUAUACCUCUGCCCUCAUGUCCAGACAGAUGAGCAAAAGUCAGAAUGCCAGGAAACCUGGGUGGCUCAGCGUUUGAGCAUCUGCCUUCUGCUCAGGGCAUAAUCAAGUCCUGCAUCAGGCUCCCUGCAUGGAGCCUGGUUCUCCCUCUGUGUAUGUCGCUGCCUCUCUCUCUCUCCCUCCCUCUCUCUCUCUCUCUCUCUCUCUGUGUGUGUGUGUGUGUGUGUGUGUGUGUCUCACGAAUGAAUAAAUUAAAAAAUCUUUAAAAAAAAAAAAAUCAGAAUGCCUAGCCAGGGCAGUAACGUGCAAGACGCCAAAGCCCCGGCCGGGUGGGUGAAGAGUUAUGCCUGCAAUAAACAGAAGGGGCUGAAAUCAGUGGUUCUGGCUGCAUAUUAGAGUCACCUGCCCUAGACCUCUAGAACCAGACUCCAAAGUGCCCCAGCGUUGAGAGUCCCUGGGUUGUUAGAUCAUGAAGGGCCUCAUGUACCAUGCUCAGGAGUGAGCUCUUACUCUCACGGGUGAGGGGGAACCACAGAGGAAUUCAUGGUGGAGAAUGUUGGACUUUAUGUUAAGGAUCCCUCGAGGGCAGUAAUCUAAAAGGAAUGUGAGGGAGAAGUCAUGCACACUAAGGGAAUCAGGGCACAAAAAUCUGAAAGGCCUGGGCACUAUCAGGUUAGCUGGUGAUGAGUGUUGAGACAUCCUGCCCUAUCCUGUGUUAACUGGCCGAGAACAAUGUGGGCAUUUAUGGGAAUUUGUGCUCUGCAUAUUCAAAUCAUUAAGACACCUUUUCCUGAGGACACUUCUUUAAGAAAUUUAGACAUCUGUGGGGAGAGAGAAGUCAAUCCACUUAGGGGAAAUUUCAGGCAUUUGGGAACUGAUUAGAGAGGAUAACUUUUUAUUUGGAAUGUAUAGUAAAAGCCAGCAUGGUGAUUCUGGUGCCCUAUUUCCCCCUGGAAACCUUAGCCGUUAAGGAGUCUCUGAAAUAAGGUUACCACAGCUCUAGCCAGGAUGAUGUACAGUGUGGCUCUUCUCAGAACAGGGUAAUGGACUGAAAAAAUCAUUUUUCUGUCCUAAAUUUUUAUUUUUCCUGAAGAACUUGCUAGUUACAUGGUAAUAAUUUUCUUUAGCAAUACAAUCCCUUUAAAGUUAUAAGGAAGUGCUAUCAUUUAUUCUGAUUGUAGUUUUUGGGAGCUAUUGCUAUAUCCUGAUGUAUAUGUUAGGUCAGAGUCCAGAAGCACUUGAAAAUGUUAACCUUCAGUUAUACUUACAACACAUUCUUGUAAGAACAAGAAGCUCUUGGCUUUUCAAACCAUAUGCUAAAGCCAAAUGUAUACAUAAUCUGAAACUUAUUGCACAUCUUUGGCAAGCAAAUCAUUUUAAGAUGACAUCUCAUCAGUAGGAUUUAUUUUUUAUCAAGUACACAAAUACCAACUUAUUUUAAAACAUUAUUUUACUUUAGAUUUCUCAUUUUUCCCAGAUCGCCUAGACGCACCACUUUACAGACAGGUGUGCAUGAAGACAAUAUAGACAAUUUUUGUUUUCCUGAUUCAGUACAUUGUAAGAAAUAAUGCUGAUUUUAAUUUGGAAUUGGAUACUCUUAAACAGCUUGUGCUGUUCCUCAAGGGGAAAAGAUAAUUAUAAACAUUAAGGAAGGAGGUAUUAAUUAUUAUCAGUAAUUAUAUAGCAUAAAUUAUAGCAUAAAAGUGGACUAUAGGGAUCUUGUUAGAAUAAAAAAUUGUAUUUUGAUCAGUCUUGAUUUAAACUAUACUACAUCCUGAUAAAUAAAAAUCCUUUUUCAAAAGCAUAUACUAUGGGGGAAAAAAGUAGUUAAAAUACCUAUUAAUAGUUGCAGUUUACAACACUGAAUAGGAAAUGACCUUUCUUUGGGCUUAUCAAAGAAUCUCUUCCAUUUUGAAUCGUUGGAACUCAGGUGCUUCCCCAGACUGAGAAUUAUUAUUUUUUUUUCUGAGAAUUAUUUUAUUGUGUGAUACCUUAGACCCACCUAAACCUAUCCUGACUUUUCCUAAUGGAACUAAAACCACAUGAACUAUCCAGAAUGAACUGAUAUAAUAAAUGCAUUUGCUGCUGACUAUGGAGUCUGUCCCCUGUGGGUCUGAGGGCAUGUGAAUGGGUACAUGUCCUGGGCUUGCUUUGGUCUGUGCUGCAGGCUGAAACACAGGCCUGGGCAUCACAAAGCCAAUUUCUGACAGUGUCAGGCGGUCAUGACAGGGUUAAGAGUGAGCAUUUUCUCCUGGCCACCUUCAAAGCACCUUCACUGUGCCAUCUUUUUGGAAUUAACAAAACAAUCAAGUAUGCCAAGUUGUAGCACAUUCAGAAUAACCUUCCAGCUAAAGAUAAGAACUUAAACUGGCUGUCCAACAGUCAGAUACUUAUAGUAGCAAAUACAGUAAACAGUUUUGAGCAGGUGCCAAAAACUGUGUGUUAGUGAAAACCUAAAAAUUUGAUGUGUUGGUACAGAACCCUGCAUAAUGUUUAAAAGCCAUUUGGUAAAGACAGUGGAUGAAAAUAAUCUAAUUUGUCUUGCUUGAGUUGGCUUGGGAAGGCAGCACUUAAUAUUCCAGAGCAUGCAUUAUCUUUGAACCAUUUACAAUAGUCUGUUUACAUGUAGAAUAUUAAUGGACCAGUUAUAAUCUUCAUUAAGUUUCUUUAACACAGUAACAGUGUUAGCCCUGUCUGAAAUAUUAUGUGUAUUUGAAGCUAAGGCAACUGAAAUUUUUAAUACUUUUAAAUUCUUACCUUUCACUAAUUCCAGCUAUAUGACCCCAAUUUUAGCACAAAUGAGAAUGGUUUUGAUAUAUAAAUGUAAAAAUUGGAAUUGGGGGCUGUCCUGGUUUCUUGUGAUGUAUUAUCCAUAGUGAUUAAAUAUUUUCAUUUAUGUUUAUUCCAUUAAAUGUUUCCACUCCAUACUGAUUUAACACUUAGACUUUUGUACAUUUCACAGAAACCAAGAAAAAUUCUUUGUUGGUAUACAUAUAUAAAAUUUCUGUUUGGCAAUCCAAACUCUGGACGCAGAGAGCCUCAUUUAAAUUACAAAUUUUGUUACCACAUGUACUGAUGACAUAACAGGACCCAGUGAAAUAAAAAAAGAAAAGGGAGAAAAACAUUUGCAUAUUUAAUUCAGGGUGUUUUGUUACAGUAGUGAAAAUCAGAAAAGUCACCGCCGAUGUGUCUGGCAUCCUGUCUACUGGCCAUCUCAUGGAGGGACAUUUCCAUAUCGUACAAUACAAGGAUAACAGAUCCCCAUGAAACAUCUGUGACAUAAAAGCCCUGAAGUAGGUUCUGAGCCGUUCAAAAUCAUCAAUAUGCUCUGCAGAUUGAAAAUUUGAUAAUCCAUUUACAGUAGAUACAUUAACUCUACACAUAGAAACACUUCUUUCUCUGACCGGACAGGUAAGAGAACUGACCACCAUUAUCGACUAUUUUUAGAGGUAGUAAAAUAGAAUUUUCUUUGAAAAAAAUUGUAGAAAGUUAGAAGACAAAAGGGAUCAAAAAACUAUGUACCAUUACAACAGUAGAGACGUUCAAAACUAAUCAUGUGGGUGCUUUGUCUGCACAUCUGCGGUGGGUGACCACGUUUAAGGAUGUCAAGCCACGUGGAGUGAAUGACAUUGGAAAAAAAUUCUGAAGGGAGGUGUCAUUUCUCGUGAACAAAGAGCUGUGGUCACAGCCAGGCAUCAGUUACCCAAGUGGGCUCUCACUGCCUUACAAGUAGACUGAAGAAAGGGCCUGGUUAAAAUGUCAGAUAUAAAGUAACAGCAAGCUACACAUUUUGCUCUAAAAGUUAAGCACACACAU